CCCGAUAUAAGCCCUGGCUCGCACUGGCCUGAUAGUGGAAAUGCGGCUACUGAAGCUAAGCAGGGCUGAGCCUGGUCAGUACCUGGAUGGGAGACCACUAGGGAACACUAGGUUGCUGUUGGAA
rnacentral:rRNA from 1 species